rfam:Candidatus Rokubacteria bacterium 13_2_20CM_69_15_1 13_2_20cm_scaffold_918, whole genome shotgun sequence.
UCCGACAAAGGCAAACCAGUCGUGAGGCUGGGACGCAAAGCCAUGGACCCCAGUGGUGUUGGGGCCGCCAGGCUACCGAAA